GAUGAACGCUGGCGGCGUGCCUAAUACAUGCAAGUCGAGCGAACGGACGAGAAGCUUGCUUCUCUGAUGUUAGCGGCGGACGGGUGAGUAACAAGUGGAUAACCUACCUAUAAGACUGGGAUAACUUCGGGAAACAGUAGCUAAUACCGGAUAAUAUUUUGAACCGCAUGGUUCAAAAGUGAAAGACGGUCUUGCUGUCACUUAUAGAUGGAUCCGCGCUGCAUUAGCUAGUUGGUAAGGUAACGGCUUACCAAGGCAACGAUGCAUAGCCGACCUGAGAGGGUGAUCGGCCACACUGGAACUGAGACACGGUCCAGACUCCUACGGGAGGCAGCAGUAGGGAAUCUUCCGCAAUGGGCGAAAGCCUGACGGAGCAACGCCGCGUGAGUGAUGAAGGUCUUCGGAUCGUAAAACUCUGUUAUUAGGGAAGAACAUAUGUGUAAGUAACUGUGCACAUCUUGACGGUACCUAAUCAGAAAGCCACGGCUAACUACGUG
rnacentral:rRNA from 1 species